UGGCUCAGGACGAACGCUGGCGGCGUGCUUAACACAUGCAAGUCGAGCGGAAAGGCCCUUCGGGGUACUCGAGCGGCGAACGGGUGAGUAACACGUGAGCAACCUGCCCCAGGCUUUGGGAUAACCCCGGGAAACCGGGGCUAAUACCGAAUAUGACCUCUGACCGCAUGGUUGGUGGUGGAAAGUUUUUCGGCUUGGGAUGGGCUCGCGGCCUAUCAGCUUGUUGGUGGGGUGAUGGCCUACCAAGGCGACGACGGGUAGCCGGCCUGAGAGGGCGACCGGCCACACUGGGACUGAGACACGGCCCAGACUCCUACGGGAGGCAGCAGUGGGGAAUAUUGCACAAUGGGCGGAAGCCUGAUGCAGCGACGCCGCGUGAGGGAUGACGGCCUUCGGGUUGUAAACCUCUUUCAGCAGGGACGAAGCGUAA
rnacentral:rRNA from 1 species